GCGCGCCGCUCCCCAAUCGGCCAAUCUCCAUUCCCCAACCCUUCUUCGCGAAGCUUCCCGGAGGCUCCCGAUGGCGGCGGCGCCGCCGCCCCAGCCUCCUCCGGUCGCCGUCGACGACUUCUACGAUGACGACAUAAGUUCACCGCCGCCCCGCCCCAUCCCGUCCGUCCCCCCGCCCUCGCUCGUCCCCGCUCACGCAACCCUAACCGCAGGGCUUCGACUGGGAGGCCGCCGUGCGGGAGAUCGACGAGGCCUGCGCUCGGGCGUCGGCCUCCGCCUCCUUCUCAGCCCCUGCCCCAGCCCCCGCGCCGGUGCGUCAUCCGCUGCCGCCGCGGCCCCCGGAGCCCUCGGCGACAGCCCCGCUUCACCGGCCACCAGCGGCGGCGGCCGGCGCGGCGCGGCAGUCGACGCUAGACCGCUUCGUCGACUCCUUCACCAAGAGGCGGCAGGAGAAAGAGAGGCCCGCGCCCUCGCCCUCGCCACCGGCGACGGCGGCGGGCGUGGGGCCCUGCGGCGGCGAUGUGGGACGGCCAGGUGUCCUAGCGGGCGAGGGGUGCUCGCGGCAGGCGGCCGAGAAGGCCGUGGAGGACCGCUUCGUCGAGUCCUUCACCAGGAGGCAGCGGGAGAAGGAGAGGGCUGCGCCGGCGGCACCGGCUGGUGGCCAGAAGCGCCCUGCGGCCCGCACUAAGAAGGGAUGCUCGCGGCGGGCCAAUGUGGAGGUCGAGCUCGACCCCUGCGCCGUGGCCCUGGACCACGAGGCGGUGCAGACGUGGAUCUAUCCAAAAAGUACACUCUGAGAAGUUGUUCUUAUCUUAUAAAUGGGAAUUUAGGGAAAAUAAUAUUUGCUGCCCCUUCGCGUCCUCUUGUUGCUCAGCAAAUUGAGGCAUGCCACAAUACAGUGGGAAUACCACAGGAGUGUGCAAUAGAUUUGAUAGGGAAUCGAAACCCUUCCAGUCGAUCUAUUUUCUGGAAGUCAAAGAGAGUGUUCUUUGUCACUCCACAAAUUCUUCAGAACGAUAUAAAAUCUGGUAUAUGCAUGGUAAACCAAAUAGUAUGCUUGGUGAUAGAUGAAGCUCACCGUGCCUCAGGAAAUUUUGCUUACUGCACUGCUAUCCGAGAGUUGCUGGCAGCUCAUGUCCCUCUGAGGAUUUUAGCUCUAACUGCGACACCAGGAUCCAAGCAUGCAGGUAUUCAAAGUGUUAUAGACAAUUUAUGCAUUUCGGAGUUGAUUUAUUGCGAUGAAGAGGAUUCUUUAGUGAAGCAAUACGUUAACACACGCAAAGUUAAAGUUGUGGAGGUCCCUUUGGGAAGCGAUGCAACUCAAGUCAAUGAUAUGCUUUUGGAUAUUAUGCGCCCGCAUUUUUAUCGGUUGCGUGAUUCUGGCGUUAUUGAUCAUCGUGAUGAUGCAAAAUGGACCCCAUUUGAACUUCUGAAAUAUAAGGAAAAAUUCAUGGAAGCACCCCCAUCAAAUAUCCGUGAAGUGGAGAGACGAGAAAUCGCAAGGUCUUUCAUAGCUCUUGGCUCACUUUUACACAUCAGGAAGUUGCUUUCGAGCCACGGAAUCCAACAAGCGCGCAAGUUUCUUGAAGAGAAGUUGAAGAAAGGGUCGUUAAAGUUGAUGCGCAAGAAUGAACUCUUCUGGCAAGUAAAAGAAAAGAUAAACCUUGUCUCGUCUCAAGGUUCGACUCCAAAAAUACAGGAGUUGAUAAGGCAGAUGGUUGAUUACUUCAAUAAGACUGACCGGAAGGACUCGAGGAUUAUUAUAUUUUCCCAUUUCCAGGGAAGUGUUAAAGAAAUAUAUUGCUCACUACAAAAUAUUGAUGAUAAACGUAUCAGACCUGUUGAAUUCAUUGGUCAAAGCUCAGCUGGUAAACAGUUGAAGGGUCAAACCCAAAAAACUCAACAAGCAAUUCUGCAGAAAUUUCGAUCUGGGGUAUAUAAUGUUUUGGUGGCAACAUCCAUUGGUGAGGAAGGGCUAGAUAUUAUUGAGGUUGAUCUCGUGAUCUGUUUUGAUGCCAAUGUCUCACCACUAAGGAUGAUUCAACGGAUGGGAAGAACUGGGAGAAAGCAUGACGGGCAAGUUGUGGUUUUGGCCUGUCAAGGACAGGAGUUGAGUGGGUACUCAAAGAAACAAAAAGAUAGUCAAACCAUGAGGAAGCUAUUGCGUAACAGUGAGAGAUUUGAAUACCAUGCUAGUCCUAGGAUGGUUCCGCAUGUCUAUAAACCAGAAGCUAAGUAUGUUAAACUGAAAAUAGACAAGUAUAUUCCUUGCUUAAAUAAAAUGAGGAGUGCUGUAAAAGAAGCAUCACCAACUUGGAAGAUGUCAGAAGAAGAUAGACAAUUGAUUGCUCGGUAUUUUGGUGGUCGCAAAGAAGAUGUUUGGAGGCCGUCCCUUAUUGCUUUUCCUAGAUUCCAGCUUUAUCCAAGUGUUGUUCACAAAGUUCCACAUUCUUUCCGGACUACAGAUAUGCUUACUGAUGCUAUGCAACAACUUCAAGAUCCAUCCUUUCUUAGGCCAAAGUGUGAAAGCCCUUUGCAAGAACCGGCUGAUGUUGGAGCUGUGAAGGGUCAGGAACAUGAAGACCUCCAUACUGUUAAUGGAAAUGAGGCAAUACCUCAGGAAUGUGACGGCUUCGAAACCUCAUCCAGAGUAGUGUGGAAUCAAGGUGUUUCUGUGCCAGGUUCUCCAGUUCAGAAGCAGUCCAGUGUUAUCCUAAACGCUAAACGCUAAACGGUCGGUCAGCUUCCGUUUAGCGUGUAAUCGGAUUACACGGGCGUUUAAACGGGCUAAAAAACGGAUUAAACGGGAUUAAACGGAUUAAACGGCCAAAACGGCCUACACAGCUGCCUACUGUGUAGCGUUUAAACGGUGUUUAAACGGACUACACGGCCGUUUAGGAUAACACUGUUCAGAAGUAUCCUAUUCACUCUUUCUUCAGUGGUGAUUAUGUAACUAUGGAUAGAGGAGGCAAUGUUUCAAUUACCUUUGUACCUGUCCUGACUCGGGCAUCAUCUGCAUUGCAUAAGGACAGAAAGAAUGCAGAUUGCCAUCAUAAAGACCAGAACAAGGCCACACCUCGCAGAUCAGCAGCAGACAUGAGUUGGACAGCAGUUGAGUUUGUUCGCCCUGUGGCUAACUCAGGCAAACAUACGUUUGCGAAUAAUUUAUCAAGUUCAGCCAUGUGUUCCCCUGAGUAUGCUGGCCUGCGACAAUGUUGAUGACAAUCAUGUGCCUGAACCUCUUCCCCCAAAAACAAUGACAAGCCUGAGGGAAAAUUUGGACACUACCUGCAAUAUUGAACUGCCACAGUCCACCAGUUCAUAUCAGGAAGAUAUGGAGCUUAGUCCCAGGUUAACACUAUAUAUGGAAGAAGGAAUUGUUCCUGAGUCUCCAGUUGUUGAAGUUAGCCACUUGCAUCUCGAGAUAGAAGGAGCUGUGAACGUUGGAUUAGUGCGAAAGCAUGCUUCUCCAGAAUCAUUCAGUGUGGGAGGUCACACCAAAUUAGCUGGAUGUAAAAAAGGACCACUGGAUUUUGAGAAAAAUGGUCAAUGGCAUUCUGUUGUGACUGUGCCUGGUGUCUCAGCAACUCAGAAUGUGCUAGAUUGUACUCGAGCAAAAACAGAAGAGCCAAUGCGACCUUCAAAUGUGAAAAUAUGUACUCCUACCAAACGUACUCCUACUGUGAAUCUACUGCAUGAUAGUUUCUCAGGUGAUUGUCUCCUUAGGUCUGGAGGGGAUGCAUCAGGGUCAGUUAAGCAAGCUCCUAAGUACAGAAGACUAUGCAAACACGGUGACAAUAUCAAAAGAGUCUCCUCCAUCUCUUUUGAUGCCUGUCAUGAUGGAUUUGAAAAAUGCGAUAUUCCUGCUAGAGCUGUGUCAAACCAAAUAUAUCAUGCUGCAGGGAAAAAAGGGAAGCCCAAGAGGCAUCUGGAUACCUUUAUUGAUGAGGAAGUCGAAGUUUCUGAAGAUUCUGAUGUUUCGGAGGAUGAGGAUGAUAAUCAGAGUGAAGAUAAAUAUGAAGAUAGCUUCAUUGAUGAUCAGGCAAGUCCAACCGGUGAAUUUACACAAACUGAACAAGGCGGACGAAAUGGUGGUGACAUGAUGGGUUUCUACAGGCAAUCACUGCUUACUCAGUCCCCUGUAGUUCUACCCUCAAGAUACCUUGAUGUCUCUGACGAGUCUGCUUCUAGGACUGGAAACGCAAGCUGUUCUUCCGAGGUUGGGCAUAAUUCUAUUGAGACUCCAAAAGAGCUUCAAACACAUCGUACCAUGACCCCAAGUCCAUCGUACCAACAAAGGUUACUGGGAAGAGCCAGUUUUGUACAGGAUCAGUGUGAGACAACUAUCACCAAUUGUGCAGCGUCAACUAAAUUGGAUUGCGGAAAGAGAAAGCUUUGCUUCCAGCAACCUGCCACGAUCCCUGUAAUAAACCUCGAACCGGAACCAGGAGCCGAAGCAUCCACCCACAUUGCCACCGGAGUCACUGAUGACAGUUAUUACGAUGAUGCUUUCUUUGAGAAUCUUAAUUUUGACGCAAUUGAAGCAGAAGCAACCGCGCUGUGGAGGCAAAAGACUACCCAGUUGACACAGAAACCGGUGGAAACUAAGAAAGCGUCAGAGCUUAGCUUUGCACCUCCAUCAUUCGACCUUGGUUUCUGAUACCCCGUGUAAAGUGAACCGGGAUACCAUCUGGCUACCUUAUCAUCCGGGAGUGUGUCGGGAACUGUGUGAGGCAAUGAGCUUAUGACUCGGGAGCAUUUCUGCAAAGGUUUGAAGCUACAUUACAUGAUAAUAUCACAGGAUCUGACAUGCUGCUGUUAAGAUCUAGCCGUGUCAUUUAUGGGCGCGCUGGAAGAUCAGUGGGAGGUGGAUUUUGUAUAUAUAUACAUACUGGUGCUAGAAGUGUAUUAUCCCAGUACAGAAUAAUAUAUAUCAUGUAUAGUCUCUCCUGUAAAUACUGCUCGAUAUAUAAGGGUUUGAAUGUAUGUAAACACUAGAGAGUUUUGAUGUGUCAAUGAUGAUUGACGGCACUGCCACUUUUCUGUGCAGUAUUA